rnacentral:rRNA from 1 species
GACGAACGCUGGCGGCGUGCUUAACACAUGCAAGUCGAACGAAGAGGCGAACGGGUGAGUAAUACGUGGGUAACCUGCCCUCCUUUUUGGGAUAAGCCUUGGAAACGGGGUCUAAUACCGAAAAAAGGGUGAUGGGCUCGCGGUGUAUCAGCUUGUUGGUGGGGUGAUGGCCUACCAAGGCGGUGACGGGUAGCCGGCCUGAGUGGGUGACCGGCCACAUUGGGACUGAGAUACGGCCCCGGGUCCUAGGGGAGGCAGCAGUUGGGGAUAGGGCAGAAUGGGCUAAAGCCUGAUGCAGCGACGUCGAGUGGGGGAUGAAGGCUUUCGGGUUGUAAACCUCUUUCGCUCUCGAACCGGUACCUGUAGAAUAAGCCACGGCUAACUACGUGCCAGCAGCCGCGGUAAUAC